rnacentral:rRNA from 1 species
GGAUUAGUGGCGAACGGGUGAGUAACACGUGAGUAACCUGCCCCUGACUCUGGGAUAAGCGUUGGAAACGACGUCUAAUACUGGAUAUGACUGCCGGCCGCAUGGUCUGGUGGUGGAAAGAUUUUUUGGUUGGGGAUGGACUCGCGGCCUAUCAGCUUGUUGGUGAGGUAAUGGCUCACCAAGGCGACGACGGGUAGCCGGCCUGAGAGGGUGACCGGCCACACUGGGACUGAGACACGGCCCAGACUCCUACGGGAGGCAGCAGUGGGGAAUAUUGCACAAUGGGCGAAAGCCUGAUGCAGCAACGCCGCGUGAGGGAUGACGGCCUUCGGGUUGUAAACCUCUUUUAGUAGGGAAGAAGCGUAAGUGACGGUACCUGCAGAAAAAGCACCGGCUAACUACGUGCCAGCAGCCGCGGUAAUACGUAUGGUGCAAGCGUUGUCCGGAAUUAUUGGGCGUAAAGAGCUCGUAGGCGGUUUGUCGCGUCUGCUGUGAAAUCCCGAGGCUCAAUCUCGGGCUUGCAGUGGGUACGGGCAGACUAGAGUGCGGUAGGGGAGAUUGGAAUUCCUGGUGUAGCGGUGGAAUGCGCAGAUAUCACGAGGAACACCGAUGGCGAACGCAGAUCUCUGGGCCGUAACUGACGCUGAGGAGCGAAUAGCGUGGGGAGCGAACAGGAUUAGAUACCCUGGUAGUCCACGCCGUAAACGUUGGGCGCUAGAUGUAGGGACCUUUCCACGGUUUCUGUGUCGUAGCUAACGC